UCCUGGCUCAGUAAGUCGUAACAAGGUAACCAGUAGAGUUUGAUCCUGGCUCAGUAAGUCGUAACAAGGUAACCAGUAGAGUUUGGAUCCUGGCUCAGGAUGAACGCUGGCGGCGUGCCUAAUACAUGCAAGUCGAACGAGUUCUGAUUAUUGAAAGGUGCUUGCAUCUUGAUUUAAUUUUGAACGAGUGGCGGACGGGUGAGUAACACGUGGGUAACCUGCCCUUAAGUGGGGGAUAACAUUUGGAAACAGAUGCUAAUACCGCAUAAAUCCAAGAACCGCAUGGUUCUUGGCUGAAAGAUGGCGUAAGCUAUCGCUUUUGGAUGGACCCGCGGCGUAUUAGCUAGUUGGUGAGGUAACGGCUCACCAAGGCAAUGAUACGUAGCCGAACUGAGAGGUUGAUCGGCCACAUUGGGACUGAGACACGGCCCAAACUCCUACGGGAGGCAGCAGUAGGGAAUCUUCCACAAUGGACGCAAGUCUGAUGGAGCAACGCCGCGUGAGUGAAGAAGGCUUUCGGGUCGUAAAACUCUGUUGUUGGAGAAGAAUGGUCGGCAGAGUAACUGUUGUCGGCGUGACGGUAUCCAACCAGAAAGCCACGGCUAACUACGUGCCAGCAGCCGCGGUAAUACGUAGGUGGCAAGCGUUAUCCGGAUUUAUUGGGCGUAAAGCGAGCGCAGGCGGUUUUUUAAGUCUGAUGUGAAAGCCCUCGGCUUAACCGAGGAAGUGCAUCGGAAACUGGGAAACUUGAGUGCAGAAGAGGACAGUGGAACUCCAUGUGUAGCGGUGAAAUGCGUAGAUAUAUGGAAGAACACCAGUGGCGAAGGCGGCUGUCUGGUCUGUAACUGACGCUGAGGCUCGAAAGCAUGGGUAGCGAACAGGAUUAGAUACCCUGGUAGUCCAUGCCGUAAACGAUGAAUGCUAGGUGUUGGAGGGUUUCCGCCCUUCAGUGCCGCAGCUAACGCAUUAAGCAUUCCGCCUGGGGAGUACGACCGCAAGGUUGAAACUCAAAGGAAUUGACGGGGGCCCGCACAAGCGGUGGAGCAUGUGGUUUAAUUCGAAGCAACGCGAAGAACCUUACCAGGUCUUGACAUCUUUUGAUCACCUGAGAGAUCAGGUUUCCCCUUCGGGGGCAAAAUGACAGGUGGUGCAUGGUUGUCGUCAGCUCGUGUCGUGAGAUGUUGGGUUAAGUCCCGCAACGAGCGCAACCCUUAUGACUAGUUGCCAGCAUUUAGUUGGGCACUCUAGUAAGACUGCCGGUGACAAACCGGAGGAAGGUGGGGAUGACGUCAAAUCAUCAUGCCCCUUAUGACCUGGGCUACACACGUGCUACAAUGGAUGGUACAACGAGUUGCGAGACCGCGAGGUCAAGCUAAUCUCUUAAAGCCAUUCUCAGUUCGGACUGUAGGCUGCAACUCGCCUACACGAAGUCGGAAUCGCUAGUAAUCGCGGAUCAGCACGCCGCGGUGAAUAC
rnacentral:rRNA from 1 species